AGCGAACGCUGGCGGCAGGCCUAACACAUGCAAGUCGAACGAACUCUUCGGAGUUAGUGGCGGACGGGUGAGUAACACGUGGGAACGUGCCUUUUGGUUCGGAAUAACUCAGGGAAACUUGUGCUAAUACCGAAUGUGCCCUUCGGGGGAAAGAUUUAUCGCCAUUAGAGCGGCCCGCGUCUGAUUAGCUAGUUGGUGAGGUAACGGCUCACCAAGGCGACGAUCAGUAGCUGGUCUGAGAGGAUGACCAGCCACACUGGGACUGAGACACGGCCCAGACUCCUAAGGGAGGCAGCAGUAGGGAAUCUUGCGCAAUGAGAGAAAGCCUGACGCAGCCAUGCCGCGUGAAUGAUGAAGGUCUUAGGAUUGUAAAAUUCUUUCACCGGGGACGAUAAUGACGGUACCCGGAGAAGAAGCCCCGGAUAACUUAGUG
rnacentral:rRNA from 1 species